rnacentral:lncRNA from 1 species
UUUUCUUCGAUCAAAUUCAGUUGGUCGUAACGACUCUGAACCCAUUCAGCAUCAGUCAACUUGGGGUUUGAGGGCGCCAUUUUUUUUUUGAUUUUUUGAUUUGAUUUUGAUUUGAUUUGAUUUUUUUCAUUUUGAUUUUGUUUUUCACCCCUCUUUUUUUUUACAUUUGUAAAACCCCAAUUUGACUGUUUCCGGGUUCUCAAUAUGCGGUUG